GAUGUUGAAGCAGCUCUGCAGCAGAUCAGGGAGGACAGCAGCGACCAGAGAAGACCGCAGCUCAAGGUGAGGAAGAGGAGACGAAGCUGCUGCUUCCAGCUCCAUGAGUCUGUGAACCCCAGCUGCUCUCAUUCAACAUCGCUAGAGCACAGAAAACGAUGAGAAAGCUUCUCGUGUGACGUUUCCCCAGAGAGGAAUCACGUUUGAAGUUUGCUUAAACGAUGAAGAGGAGGUCAAAGAGGAGAGCGGACCCACAGAGGAGGUGACGCUCGGAGGAGGACGGAAUCUGCUCCUCCUUUUCCCUUCACUCACUCUUUGAAUCAAACUCCAGGACGGGAAGAGGAUGAACCUGGAGGAGUGGUUUCGGGUGAGAAGAGGGUGGAGCAUGAGGUGUCCUCAGACGGCGCUGGACGCCCUCGCGGACAUGGACGUCAACUCGGCGUCCCACACGGCCGCUGGAGCUGCAGAAGGUGCAGGACGGGUCUGCGUUUGAGCCCACAUGAUUGUUUCCGUUUGCUCCUCACUGACCUAAAAAGUUCCCUUUCAGCUCUCACAGAGGAGGGGGCCACAGGUCGCAGGCGGUGGGUGGACACCCCCCCAAAAUCCCUGCUGGAUGCUCUGGGUCAGGCUGAACUGACAUCAUCCACUCUGGACUCACCGGCUGCAGACCUGGAGUCAGAGGACGUCACCAGGGAGGAGAAAGAGGGAAAACAGCCGGAUGGGGAAGAGGAGGAAGACUCUGAUGUGGAGUUGGAUGCAGAGCGUCUGGAGCCGCGGUCCGAUGACGAUGACACGAACUUUGAGGAAUCCGAGGACGAGCUGAAGGAGGAGGUGGCAGACUCCAUGAGGAACCUGUUGGUCAUGGAGGACUCCGGCUCCGAGGAGCACGGAGAAGCCGAGAGCUGCAACGGAUCCUCAGCAGGUCCACCCGUGUGACGGAGGAACCGAAGGGCGGCGGCAUCGGUCCGGCUGAACAUGAACAGCCUCAGCCCUGCCGACCAUGAACCAACACUAAUGUCCCUUCUAACAAAAACCCAACAGUUUCUGAAAGCUUCAGGUCUGUUGGUCUGAGGUUAGAAAAAAAGCAAAGGAACCAGAGAAUUAUGAGCAGAACAGCAAGAGAAACCCCUGGAAGGAACGAGUGUUUAUGGACAAGAAGUUUGCUUCUCUAAACUGCCUCCUGUGUUCGGCUAAAGGAAAACACUCUCAUGUGUUUCUAUGCAGACAAAAUGUCUUGGUUUAGUUUUCCCUGAUGUGAGCAGAUCAUGUAGAAUUUCAGGUCAGACUUUUCAGCGUUGAGUAUUUCCACCGUCUAACAUCCUAAACGAUGAAAACUCCAAUCUUUGGAUUGAGAUGCUCACAGGAGUUUAUCCUCUG
rnacentral:lncRNA from 1 species